UACGGGGGGGGCAAGCGUUUGUUCGGAAUUACUGGGCGUAAAGGGCUCGUAGGUGGCCAACUAAGUCAGACGUGAAAUCCCUCGGCUUAACCGGGGAACUGCGUCUGAUACUGGAUGGCUUGAGUUCGGGAGAGGGAUGCGGAAUUCCAGGUGUAGCGGUGAAAUGCGUAGAUAUCUGGAGGAACACCGGUGGCGAAGGCGGCAUCCUGGACCGACACUGACGCUGAGGAGCGAAAGCCAGGGGAGCAAAGCGGG
rnacentral:rRNA from 1 species